GGAUGGAUGUUUGAGCGGUUGAAAGAGUCGGCCUUGAAAACCGAAAUAUUGAUAGGAAUACCGGGGGUUUGAAUCCCUCUCCAUCCG
rnacentral:tRNA from 1 species